AGAAGAUAUAGUUUCAAUUUAAUGCUUUUUUUUAUUGAAAAUGCUUAAUAAAUUAAACUAGAUUGUGACAUUAAUACAACAAAUAAACACUCAUAACAGUAAUAUUUUGAAUUGAAUGAGUAUGAACAAGUGAACAUGGAUAACCCCUAAAAAUCAAAUAUUAUAUAGUGGACAAUGAGGGUUUCCGGCCAUCUGGUCGAAUGGGUCGUCUCGUUUGGCAUAAUUUUGUUCGAAAGAAUUCAGAUAAACUUUUUGCCAUUCUAGCAAGCAAUAGUGUAGCGGCUCGGGCAGUGGCCGGUAUUUUAGGCACGUUUCGCUAUAACUCAGUCAAUUCCAAACCAAUUGACUUGAAAUUUUGUACACAUGCUAUACGUUCCAAAAAUUGUGUCAAUUGGUUCAAAAUUGUUUGAGUUAUAGCUGAAAAGUGCCCAAAAUAGAAGCCCUGUUGAGAUGGUUUCACGUCCCUAUGAUCGUGAGAAGUUUUUCCUUCUUUUAAUCAUAGGCUAUUCUUUCUAGUUUUACCAUUCAGUGUUAAGUUAAGCCCUGAAACUGACACUAUUUCAUCAGAGAUUUUUCCUUCUGCAAAUCAUGAUCUGUUCUUUAGGGUUUUACUGAUGUGGAGAACAGUCGCAUAAUGACUUAAGUUCAAUAUUCCUUUUUUGGCCAAGCGGCAUUCGCCCAAAAGGCCCGAAACCGACAAUAAGAUAACCAAAAAUUUGAAACAUAUUCGGUAUUUGUUCAAGUUAAACCUGACGAUCUAACUCUAAUCAUUUUAUAAACUAAAUCAGAUCGUGCAACACUGUACCUGUACCGUUGACAAGUACACCGCAAGAAUUCAAAGUUCUGCGUUCGUUUAAAAAAACAUUAUCUGUUUGAUGAAAAAUCAAUCGAAUAGAGGAGAAUAAAGAAGGGGGAUGGGGGAGAAAGUGUUCCAAGGCGAAAUUAUUGGAAUUUCCGCUAAGGUGUGGAAAGAAGAAAAAUACAUGAUCUACGCCAGAGAGUCUACCUUGGUUUGAAAGGGAAUGACAAAAGUUUCCUCUGGAAAAUUUUGUGCAAAAAUCUAGAUAGAGAAAUCGUAACGUUUUUCUUCCCCUAUGAAGAUUUAGAGAAUAUAUCAGUGAACAUUUUGCUAGAAGACAACUUUCUAGUUGGACUUCUAAUAUGGGCGAUAUUAAAUUUCGAAACGAUUUUUUUUUAAUCUGUAUUAACCCUCUAAUACCCAACCCCGCCUUUAGACGGAGUAUAGUUUGAGCAUUUUUGUAAUUUUUGUUUCGUGGGAAAUCAAAAUUUUUAUAUUUUUGGCAGAUAUUUAGGACUGUUUUGUAUAUCUCAAAAUGUUUUUUGGUGUAUUUUAAAGCGUAUUUACAUUUUUGAAAAAUCUAUGAAAAAUUGAUGUUUUGGUCACCUUUUAGAAGUCAAUGUUUAUUUUGUAUUGAAACGCAACAAUUAACAUAUUUUAAUUUUUUCCCAAAUCAUUCUACCCUAGUUUAAUAGUUUAAGGGAAUCGAAUACACUCUAAAAUUAUUUUCCUUAAAAUUACACGGAAAAUAAAAUUUUAUAUGAAAAAAAUAAAUAAAAUAAAAAUAUUUCUACAAUAAUCAUAAAAUCUCAAAAUGUUCUCAUCUCAAAAAAUCCGUACCCCAAAAAGGCUUCCAGGAAAAAUAUAAAAGUGUGGAGAUGUUCAAAAAUAAACAUAAGAAAAAUCAAAAACUGAAAUUCACGAAAUCAAGAAUUAAAAAGAAUCAUCUUCCAAAACAUGUUUAAAUCGAUUUUAGAUGACGAAAAAUGGUAUUUAGAUCAAAAUCAAAAAUUUGGGUAUUAGAGGGUUAACGAGAUUUUUAGCCCUAGGCUAGUUCAUCUCGGGACCCACGCUUUAACUUCCCUUCCGAAGGAAGAACUCACAUUUUGUGAGUUUGUCGGGAGUGGGAUUCGAUCCCAGGUCCUCGACGUGAUAGCCAAGUGUUCUAACCAUCACACCAGGUCCGCUUUCGAAACGAUGAACAUUUAAUACCGAAUGAUUUCUGACAUCUUUAUUUGGCAUCACUGCACGUUAUAUGUGUGGCGAAUAUAAUCUUUGGCGUCACCACCCGCCGCUGGAUGGAAGCGCAAGUGUUCUAUAAAAAUGGUAUAGUUUGGAUCGUAAAUAUUUUACGAUAUCACUUCGAACAAUCUUGGUAUCUUUGGCAAUGUUGUUGGCUUGUUCAAAAGCAGAUCAUUGAUGGUCCAAAUCAUAAGCAAAUCAAUCGUUGUUGAAUUCUUAAUGAUUUGGAUCAUCAAUCAACAGCUCUUGUCAAAGCUAACAACUUUGCCGAAGAUACUAGCCAUAAAAAUUAUCGCAUUUUUAAGAUACACAAAUAUACGUUUAUGCAAUUCAGCAUCAUAAUUUUUAAUAUAUAUAACUCAUUUCGGUAUCAUAAUGACUAAACUUUCCGCACUGGUUCAUUAUGCAACUGAAAUGAAACGACGGGCUUGGUGGUCUAGUGGCUACCGCUUCUGAUUCCUUCUGCAUAGGUUCUGGGUUCAAUCCCUGGCCCGUCUCUUUCCUCCUACUUUAUCUCUUUCUCUUCUCUACAUAUAUAAUUCAUUAGAGUGGGUCAUCCGUUAUAUGGAAAAAUGUAAAAUUUGAUGGCAUCAAAGCAUUUGGGGUCCCAUUUCAGGACUCAAAUAACUGUGCAAAAUUUGGCCACGAUCGGUUAUGCCUACGUUUUGUGCAUCGCGUUUGAAAUUUAUAUGGGGUACUUUUUUGCAUUUCUCUCAUUAGAAGCACGAAUUUUUCUAAAACCAUAUAACCGAUCAUGUGAAAGCAUAGCCUAGGGUGUCCUGAAAAACGUUUUCGAAGACCACGAAGUAAUCUGAUGCUUUCGAAAAAAGUUAAAGCGUUGGCAUUGCUUGUCGAAACAGCAUGAUUUUGGUGCUAUUGUUAUUCCUUUACAUGUUAAAACUUUAACACAUGCAUGCGGUUUGUUGUAUAUAACUUUUUUUACAAGCAUCGGAUCGCUUUGCGGUCUUCAACAAAGUUUUUUUUUUUUUUUUUUAUCUGUAUUAACGAGAUUUUUAGCCCUAGGCUAGUUCAUCUCGGGACCCACGCUUUACUUCCCUUCCGAAGGAAGAACUCACAUUUUGCGAGUUUGUCGGGAGUGAGAUUCGAUCCCAGGUCCUCGGCGUGAUAAUUCAACAAAGUUUUUCAGAACAUCCUAAGCUAUCAUUUUAUAUUAUUAUUGGUCAAAUAGUAGGCAAACUUUUUUAACUUAUGACAAAAAUGCAAAGAAGUAUGUUUUCCUAUACAAAAUCCCAUACAAAUUUCAAUUGCAAUGCGCAAAGUGUAGACGCAACCGAUCUUGCUCAAAAUUUGCAAAUAUACUCAGGACCCGAAACGGAACCAAAACAGCAUUGAUCUGAGAAAACGGUUCCGAUGACCCACGCUAUACAUUGUAUAUUCAUAAGUUCAUAGCCAUCGCUAGAACAGAAACGGGAUGAAAAUAAACCGUUUUCUUUCCUUCCAACUUUGCUAACACAAUGUCAAUCUGUCAUAUAACGCCUACGAGUUAUGGAAUCAAGCGAAUUGUGCCGCAAUAUCUUCAGAGUAAUGAAUACACUAAUCUAUCACCUUACGCCUGGCAUUUACGCACCAAUGUGUGAGCCCAUUGCCAACCAUACCUUACCAACACUCCGACAUCCGCAUGAAUUUGUGCAAACGCAGGGGUACAUUCGGUCUGAUGUGGAUAUAAACGAUUGCAAUCAUCACUUUCUUCCCCUUCCCGCAUUGACCUGUAACCUGACGUGGCAGGCGCCAUUGUCGCUUAAAAAUAGAAGAUCACCAACACUCACACACUGAAAAUGCCUGCUUAGUCAUCGGCAGAUUCUCAUUGGUUCCUUGUGUGAAUGUAGCUGGUUUGGUGAUACUGGAGUAACAUCCACGGGUGGUCAAUCAAACUCAAGCUCAAACUGAAGGUUAGUAUCGCAGCUAAUAGUACAAGCUUACAAAACCGAAAUUACUUUCAUAAUUUUUCGUAAUUUGACGAAGUUUGGCAAAAAUAAGUAAUUUUCCACUAAAUUGAGCAAAUCUCAAAAGAAUGACUGACGUUUUUCUUCAUAAUUUGUUAGUUACAACACCAAGCUUUGGAUUAAGCAUAAAUUUGUUACAUAUCUCUUCAAUUUUCACCGAUUUCUAAUUAAAUGUGCAAAAAUGCGGAAAACGCUGAGUACCGCUGCCGUAGGUGAUAGUUACCACCCUCUUCCAUUCGUAAAAGAUGCAGUGAUGCCAAAUAAAGAAGUUAGAAAUCCUGCGUAAAAAAGGUUCAUUAUUUCGAAACCUAAUGGCCCCCUUAUUUGAAGUCCAACUAGAAAGUUGUCUUCUCACAAAAUGUUCACUGAUAAAUCUUCAGAGGGGGAGAGAAUUUUUAGUUCUGCUUUAAAGUACCUUUUUUGAGACUUUGGAAAGUCUGCUUUCCCCAUACUGGAUAAAUAAAAUUCCCAUAUAAAACUCAAACUCAAGUGUGGACUAGCUUACCGUCUUUUUAGAUUUUUGUUUUUAUUUUUUUUUAUUUGGGGGUUUCAUUUGAACCCAUUUGCAACUAUUUGUGACUAUGCGAUUAUGGAUUUUGUGAAAUCAACUAAAAAGGGUCUUAAAGACUACAUAGGGUAAACUAAUUAUUUAUACGAAACAGAAUGGAUCAAAAGUACACUCAUUGCACAAUUAUGGGUCACACACAAUUAUUAGUCACUUUCCACUUUAAUAGAUAAAUACUAAUUAAUUGCAAGCUUUUGCUAGCCAUUAUCACUUUUCGUUGAUGAGUUGAUUUGUUUUAUGUCACUAUACGUAUCGCACACGGGCUUAUACGUCAAAACAUACAUAUUUUCGGUAAUUUUUUGUUCGGCGUAAAACCAUUUUUCAAAGAAACGCUUCGAUUGUGAACAUCAUAAAGUGCGUGCGCUGCUUUCGUAAGCUCUGUAAAUGCGAGCUUUAGUGAUUUUCAAGUGCGAAAUGGUAUCGUCACCAGAACAAAGGUAUAAUUUACGUUCUAAAUGUAGAAAUUCAUGCAACUGCAGCUAAUCAAAGCUUAUUUCAGGCAAAAUUUAAAUGACUCAUUGUUGUGACAAGGAACACCGAAAAUCACACAAUUAUGGGUCACUUUUUGUGCAGCAUAAUAUUGACAGUUCUGCGUACAUGGGCAUUGCAUACUUUUAGGCGUUUAUCAGUGGUUGUGUUGGAGAUUUCGGCAAUCCCAAUUUUGAAAAAUUGAUUCCAAAUCGUUAAGAGGUUUAAGACCAGUUUUAGAUUCUACUAGUUGAUCUAUCUAGAAUAAGUGACCAUUCAUUGAAAAAAUAGACAAAACAUUAUUGUUCAGCCGAUUCCUCUUGAGUGACCCAUAAUAGGCAACAAAUUGAUCCAUAAUUGUUACACAGCCAAUUUUGACCCAAAAUUGUGGUUUUCAUUAUUCACCGACAUUUCAGUAAUUUUCACCGCCUAAAGUGAAUUUUACAAGCAGAUUUUUAUAUAAAACAAUAAAACUUUUUAUUGUUCCUAACUCCUUUAGGAGUUUCAAUGAAGUGAAUCUAUCUAUAUAUAUAAAAAUGAGUUUGUAGCUUCUUUGAGGCAACAAAACUCAUGAACGGCCGAACCGAUCUGCAAGACCCUUGCACGUUUCGAUUCGUAUUCAUGGUGGCUGUGUUUAUAUGUAUAAAAAGUUACGAAAAUCAACUAGAAAAGUAACAAAAUUGAUAGAGAACUGAUUUUCUAUGAGCUGGGAAGGAAAUCAACACGACCGAAAUAAAAUCAAUCUAGAGUGCGGUGCUAUUUCGAGCUCAACAGUUGUCAAACCACCAUAAGACGGCAAGACAAAGUUUGCCGGGACAGCUAGUAUAAAAUAAAAAUAAUGAAAGUGUUAUUUUUGUAUGAAAAACGAUUCAUAUUAUGAAAUGAUUGUUCCUUGAGUGACCCAUAAUUGUGCAAUGAGUGUACAUUAUUACUAAUUUUCUGAUCAUUUUUUCAUUGACUCUAACACAAUAUAUGAAAUUCGUUGGUUUUAUGAGCGUGUGUAAACUCAAAGUUUGGGUUGAUUUUUUAUCAUGCAGGUCACCAUUUGAAUCCCUAUUUAGUUAGAGUUAUCGAACUAAGGCCACGAGUACACGGGGACAAAUCGCCCCCUUAAUGCUAGAACUAGGUAACUCGUUUUGGCAGGUGCGGGUAAAAAAGACUGGUAAAACUUAUUCUGCUAUAAAACCAACUCUUUGUUGGUCUUAAAAGAUGAAUUAAUAUGUGUUUUUGUAGUUUCAAUUGACAAACUUUUGUUUAUUGUGAUGUACGUUCAGAUAUAAACAAAUUUCUCGCGAUUUCGCAAAACCAGUUACCAGCUUUGAACUAACAAGAAAUCAUCUGGUUUACACUCAUGAAAAUUUGAUCGAUUCAAACAGGUGUUUGAGCAUAAUUUUCAUCAACUUUCACAUAAUUCAUCGCGUAAUAUCUCUAAAAUUAAUGUUUAACACGUCCAAAACUUCAGAUUUCUAUGAAGGGAAAAUAUAGACCAUUCAUUUGAAGUUGGAAAGUUUUUGGCUGGCAGCUUGAAUUUGGCCGCUGUUUCGUAUUUUAUCAUUACGGCGAAACUAGAAACGCUUUGUCAUUUUUUUGGUUUUAUUUUAUGUUGAACGGAACAAAGAAUCGGUUUUCAUACACAUUUAGAGUAAGGAUCAAGGUGUCUCCCGAACUGUCCUGGUGGAAAGUAUUUCUUAUAUUUAAAAAAAACAUUUUUUUAAGGAAAUUCAGAAAAAAAUGGUUGAGGAAAACUGAUAAACAUUUUCCACUAGGAAAAAAAUCACGAAACACCUUGACCCUUUCUCUAAAACUGUACCUAUUUUGAAAAUAUUGUUCCGUUAUUUAAUGAACAUCCAAAACCAACAAUGAGUUUUGGUUUAAAUCGUGGCAUAGGUGGCGACACCAUCAAUUGCCAAAUUUUGAGUCAGUGGCUUAACACUUUCAAAGUUGGAAAACUUUGAAUGUCACAAUACAGUAAAACAAUUUUGCAUAUUGAGAAUGUUGGCUACAUAUACGACCAAAACUUUUUAUCCGUUUGCCAAAUCGAAUGAAAUUUUAAUAGAAUAUUUCUAUUUACAUACGCCACCUACAGGAAAAAAAUAUUGUAAUCGGUUCAGUAUUUCUGACUCAAGCGUUACAUAUAUGUUAAAUAUUUAUUAUUUUUUAUUCGUUAUUUGUACAAAAUUCUCAAAAUCUAAAUUUCUUGCGUCGGAGAUAUCUCCGACAAUACUAAACCAAUUCUGAUGAAAUUUGGAUGGCUUCAUCUACACAUAAUAAACUGUUGUUGGUUGGAAAAUCAGCCAUUUUGAUGCAAGCAAUCAAAAGUUAAACACUAUUUUUCAUGGUGCAAUUUGAGUUGGGACACCCUUUAGGACGCAAUCAGUGAAGUACUAGAUUGAAAGUAGUGAGCUGGAUUUUAGAAUGGUGAAAUGAUCAAUUCUCCAUUUCUGCAAUGACAUGGUGCAAACAGCGUGGGUAUUAUGAUUUCUUACCUAAUGUGAU